UGCUCGGGUUGUCUCUGGACAGAGAAAACAAGAGGAGCCAACACCUUGGGGGCAAAAAGUUGUGAUGGCCCAGGCUGAUAAACCAACAGCCAAUGAGACCAGCUUCUUGGGAUGUUCAACCAAGAUGACACACAUUGAGGACCAUGAGCCGUUUGAACCAGCACCUGAGGUCACUGCGAGCAGUCAGCAGCAGAGCCCGCCUGAGGACAAUGGCCAGCUUGAAGAUCCUCAUGUAACACUUGGCAAUCAGAAGGUACUUAUUUUUAACAUGUUAUUCCCUGUUCCUUGUGAGUUUUCCUGCCAUUUA